rnacentral:tRNA from 1 species
GAGAAUUUAGCUUAAGGAAAGUAGUUGAUUUGCAGUCAAAAGAUGGAAGAGAGACUUCCAGUUUUCG